rnacentral:rRNA from 1 species
AGUGAACGCUGGCGGUAGGCCUAACACAUGCAAGUCGAACGGCAGCACAGUAAGAGCUUGCUCUUACGGGUGGCGAGUGGCGGACGGGUGAGGAAUACAUCGGAAUCUACUUUUUCGUGGGGGAUAACGUAGGGAAACUUACGCUAAUACCGCAUACGACCUACGGGUGAAAGCAGGGGAUCUUCGGACCUUGCGCGAUUGAAUGAGCCGAUGUCGGAUUAGCUAGUUGGCGGGGUAAAGGCCCACCAAGGCGACGAUCCGUAGCUGGUCUGAGAGGAUGAUCGGCCACACUGGAACUGAGACACGGUCCAGACUCCUACGGGAGGAAGCAGUGGGGAAUAUUGGACAAUGGGCGCAAGCCUGAUCCAGCCAUACCGCGUGGGUGAAGAAGGCCUUCGGGUUGUAAAGCCCUUUUGUUGGGAAAGAAAAGCAGCAGGUUAAUACCCCGCUGUUCUGACGGUACCCAAAGAAUAAGCACCGGCUAACUUCGUG